GAUUUUGAUCUGAAAUUUAUUUUUUUUUUGUUUUUUUUUUUUUGAGAGAUAUGUAGCACGCUAUCCACUUCGUUUAUUUCAUUUAGAAAUAAAUUUACCUGAAAAUGUGAAUCAAUUAAGAUUCGAACUUAGAUUUCGGAUACCAACCAUCAAAUUCUUUGCCACUUACUCAAGGGACGGUCGUUGAUUUGAAAUUUUGUUCAUAAUUAUUCUUGGCAGAGUAAUUGUUACAUGUGAGAUUUAUUUUUUGUUUACAAGCCACAUGACAAGACAUGGGUCUAAUCAAUCAAUCAAUCAAUCAAAUUUUUUAGAGUUUUCGUUCAAAUGCUAUUUGAAUAGAAUUAUUUAAAAAUACUCGUUGGGCAAAUUUUUAUUAUAGUUUCUUCUUUCUCAAAAUAUAAGUAUAAUUUUAAAAUCCGAACUCUGUACUUCCAGCCAAAGUUGGAGGAACCGAUCAUUUGUAUAUAAAUUGCCUAGCUAAGGUUCAUGAAGUAGAAAAAUCUCUUAAUAAGAGAAUCAUGCAUGCGGAGAUCGACGUACAUAUUCAUGCAGGACCAGGUGGAGAAAUCCUCCAAUAUUAUUCUAUUAAAUAAAUAGUCCGCUUCACUGUGAGAAGAAAGAGAUGAAUUUACAAAUACAAAAAAACAUGCGAGGCACAAAUCGCUGAAUUGAUGGGAGGCAUCCUUUUGUUGUAUCUACUGCAUACAUCACAUUUGCGGGUGAAAGAGAUAGUUAAAUUGGUAUUGAAUAAGACAAUAUAUAUAUAUAUAUAUAUAUAGCACCCCAUAGAUACAUACAUACAUACAAACAUACAUACAUAAAUGCAACGCAUGCAUACAGCAUACGUAUAUAAUUUUAUGAUCUCUGUAUAUUGAAGAAAAUCAAAUGGUUACUAUGUUUGGCCCCAAACAAAACUCGAUACAAAUAUCCGCACAAAAUAUAUUACCCACCCCUCUGAACAUCAUCUAAUUAUUCCUGAAACAAAUAUUAUACAAGCAGCUGGACAAACGUUCAUGUAUUUGUAUAUAUAUAGUAGUGAUAGAAAGAAUCCCACCGCAGUGGCCAACAAAUUAUUUUUAUUAUUUUUUAUAUGAAAGAUGGAGAAGGCGAAGGCGCAGCUGCAUCCUUCUUGCUGACGAACCCACCACCGGAAACUGGUCCAGGCGCCGGGCCUUCGCCCUUCUUGCUGACGAACCCACCCCCAGAAACUGGUCCAGGCGCCGCACCCGAACUCAAGAGCUCCGCCAUCGCGCGGCGAGGGUUCGAGCGUUGAGUCUCGCACAGAUCAGGUAGGAACACACCUGUUAACACCAAUUGUAUCAGCCUUCACUUUCUUUUUCCGGACGUAUAUAGUAAAUACUGUGAGCAGUGAGCUAACACUGAAUUGGACGGUGAAUUUUAAAAGGCAAUCUAAUGAAGGAGAACCAGAUGCUCCUUGUUAAAGUUUUGCCAGUAAAAUAAGCCCCACACGUACCUAUGGUGUAUACACACAUAUGGUGACUUUCUUGUUGGACUUCAUCUAGGGCCCAACAUUUCCAAAGCCCAGAUAAUGAACAUCACGUAGUCCAUCUUUUUUUUUUUUUUUUUAAAUAUGAUUUUUUCUUUUAAUUUUUCCGUGAGACAUUCCUAUCGUCUUUACUAGGUCCUUUUCUCUCUGUUUUAUGCUUCAAUCCCACUUUGGGUAUCUCCGCGUGAUCGUUACGUACGACCAUAGGAAGUUAACUGCACCUGUUGUGUGCUUCACUAUUAUUUGUCUUAUUUAAUUAAUCUUAAAUUAUAAAAUAAAUACUUCGCAAAAGAGGUAGAUUAAUGAAUUAAAAAAAAUAAAAAAUAAAAAAAAAGUUAACGUGACCUUCUCCGGCGGCGAGGUUGAAGUAGAGGUCGACGAUGUUGGGGCAGUUGUGGUAGCAGGAGGGGGAGCAGAGGUUGGAGGUGAAGCGCGGGUCGAGGAGGGAGUCGGAGGAGAUGCCGACGGUGCUGCGGUCGACGCCGCACGCCCGCACGCACUCGUCCGUCUCGAUCCAGUCCGACAUCCGCCCCACCGUCACCUCCGACGUCCGGCACUGAUACUCCGUCCCCGCACCCCCGCUCCUCGGCGCGCUCUCCAGCAGGCACCGCUUCGACUCCCACGAUAUCGAGAACGCGCACAGGUCCUGCGGCAGCUCCUCACACACCACUCCCGCCCCUUCAAAUUCAAAUUCAAAAAUUCAAAUUCAAAUUCAAAGUUUAAAUUUAAAAAACAUGCAUGCAUGGAUGCAUGUCAGCUCUAUAAAUGCGUAAUAUUAGCAGUAAAGCCAGAAUCAAAUUCAAAUCAUCUGAUGUCCUACAGCCAGAAAUCAAAACAAAUAAAACAUAAAAAUGCGUACGGAGCACGCACGCGCACGAAAGACAAAUGCAAUGGUUAUUUGUAGGUGCACAUAUAUAUAUAAUUAAAUGUGGAUAUACGUACCAAGAGCCGAUGGAAGGACGAGGGAGAGGGAGAAUAGAAGGGCCAAGCCCAUGUUAGCAAGAGAAGAGGACGCCAUUAUCAAUGGUGGUGGUGGUGGUGGUGGUGGUGGUGAGAGAGGGAGACGGAGGGGUGAUGAAUGAGAGCUUUGUUUAGGUUGGAGCUUAAUUGGUGGCAAUGGAGAGCGAGAGAAGGGGACGAGUUUCGGGGGUUUAUAUAAUAAAAGGCUAAUAAAGAACGGGAAGUGUUUCGGGUACGAAUCCAACAAUUUCGGUCUCUAUUUGUGGCUUUAACCUUCAACUGCGCAUCCCCUUUUAUAUAUAUUUUUUUCAAUUUAUUUUUUUCCACUCCUUUUCUUUAUUUAUUUAUUUAUUUAUUUAUUUAUUGCAUAAUUUCCAACCAUCACGCGGUGUUGGGCUUUGAAACAUCCGUGACGGCGAAUUAUCAUAACUCAUAAUUAAGCACCAAAUGCCAAUAAAAAGCUACCGCGUAUGGCACCAAGCAACGUACCGAUAUUUUGCACCUAUCACGUUCGAGCUUGAGAAUAGAUACGUAACGUCGGUGGCACGCGAACUUUUGCAUUUACUUUUCUUUUAAAAAAAAAAAAAUUUGACGGUUCGUAUGUAAGUUUGUAAUUAACGAGUCUGUUCUUACUAAUAAUAUCAAUUAUAAUUAUUAUUGUUAUUAUUAUUGUUAUCAUCGCGUCGAGUCAAACUCAAAGACUCGUGCGCACGUUGUCCGUUGACGACGACGAGACGUGAUGGAAGGUAAGAAAGCAUUGGCAUCUGAGGUGGGGUUUGAUCUUUGAACUUUGAACGAUUCAAAUGUGGCGAGAGAAGCUUCGUUCCCACUUCAAUACAAGUUCGCAAUCACCCUCGUUUCGUUCCGUUGCGUUUGGGCCCAUCGAUCCCAAUUAAUUAAAUUAAUUUGGUCCAUGUGGCGGAAUUUGUGGGUGCCAUUUUGAUGGGCAACAACGAUCCAUGUGGACAUAGAAAAAUGGUGGUUAACAACUGGGACAUGGGAGAGAUCGAAAUCGGAAGUCGUCGCCGCGUCGUUUUCUUUUCUCAGUGCAUUAUUAUUCCCUAAGCAAAGUCUCGUGGGUUCUAGAAAAGCUCGCAAAUCAUGUGCAUUUUUUAGGCUUGUUUUGCACCUAGCUAAAAUUAUUUUUCUUGGAAUAAUCGGCUCACACAACACGUAAUUAAAUGGAUUUGCAUAAAAAUUGCAAAAAUUAUUCAAAACUACUGCAAUUAAAAAUUCUCAAAUUUUUGUUGUAAUGAAUUCUUUUGGUUGAUCGAACAUGUACUCCACAAUCUCGGUGUUGACGCGAGAAGUCGUUGCCUACACAGCUGUUUGGAUCCCGAAGUAUUGUAAAUUGCGUUUGUAAAAUUAAAUAUCACAAUUAACGCUCGACCUUGGAAUGCAGAAUUGUAAGUCAUAGAGUAUUGGUAACGGUUCGCGGCCAUUUUUAUGACAUUCAUUGGAAUCCACAUGUGGAAACUGCACAUGCUGACCAGCAAAGCAAAGUAUAAUUUUGUUUUCCUCUUAGAAUUAGCUAAUUCAUCUCAAUUUCUAACUUGGUGCCUUGUCUUUUAAUGGGACUAAAUCCUCCUAUCACUUACGGUUCAAACCCACUAUUGCACCGAGAAUAUUGGUUCAACAGUGAUUAGACGUAAGAAUUAAUUGUGCUCUGUGUGUAUUGUGCAAGAGUUUUUUUUAUCUAUGAUCAGUUUUAGUUUAAUGUUGCGUUUUCGAUAGAUUAUACAUCUUUUUCAGCUCAGAGUUUAGGAACUCCACAUAUUAUUAGUGCAGAGAUUGCAAGUUCAGGGCCUCACAAAAGCUUUCCACAUCCUCAAAUCUCUCCAGUAAUACUAUUGCGCGAGCAGGAUAGAGCUGAGAGAUCGAGCAUAUCUGAGUGUACAGUAAAAUGAUGCCUUUCUUAAGCGUCUACGAUGUAGAAUAAAGAACGCAAAACUUUCUCUUUUGUAGCCUUACAGGCCAUGUGAGAUCUAUAAAGGCAUCGGCUGCAUCAGAUUCAGCAUGGUUUACUUUAGGGCAAGUGUGGAGAGAGGUUCGUGGCAUCCAUUUUUGUCAAGCUCGAAACUGACGGUGCCGGGACCGGCCAACCGGAGGAGUAAAGAGCCCGAAAAAUGGCCUAGCCCGAUACGACACGACACAACACGAUCUGCAUGAAAGACACAUUUAGUCUAUUUGUCAACAAAAAUAGGCGCAUAUAAAUUUAACCUACAAAAGACACAAUAUGCAUACUAGUUAACUGUCUGAAAUUUUAAAUUUGAAGUCUAAUUAUUUUAUAUUUUUUAAAUAUUUUUUUAAAAAACUUAACAUAACGAACAAUAUACUAUCUUUCUCUCCUGAAAAAGUAAAAAAAAUAGAGUCAGGGAAAAUAUAUGGGAAACCAUUAAAUGGGGCCCACCGAGGCAUCCACGAUGCAGCUUCACCUCAAACAAAUAGAAAACUUUCUAUUUCUUAGAUUGAAGGAAAAGUGUAAUGGAGCCCAGAGAUAGAAUAGUCAAUACGAAGGCUGGGCCGUGUCGAAGCGUCUUAAAUUAAACCGGGCCUUUCAAACAAUGGGGCCGAUGUGGGCCCAAAUACGCACGGGGCCGCCACGGCUUAACAGGCCUAAGAAAUGAUCCAAAAUGAGCCUAGGCCUGGCUUUUGAUAAGUCUAUUUAUGGUAUGCCACGGGUUUUUACCUAAAAUGGAAAGUUUUCCGUUUCGAGGGUAGGAUAACUGAGAGUACGGAAUAUUUGUUAGUUCAAUCGGGUUUUGUUAGAUUUAAUUAUUUUAAGUAUCUUUUAUAAAAAUUAAACUGCAAAAAUUAACAAAAUGAUGGCUCCCAGACUUACCUAAUUUAUGGGUCUUAAUUCAUUCCUAUUUGUAUUCUAAUAAUAUUUUUGUAGUAAAAUAAUUGACCAAUCUAUAGUAGGUAAUAAUUUCCUGUGAUGUUUGAGAUUUAAAAGUGUAGAGUAUAUUUUAAAUACAAAAUAAAAAAAAAGACGAGCCCAUCACUUGUCCUGUGGCCCAAUUAUGUACGAGUCCAAAGGGCCCAUUUAAUUUGGGCCCAUAUGGCGGCCCAGGCCUGCAUUUUUCAAGACUAUUUUUGGUUAGUUUCGGGACCUACUUAAAAAGGACACUUUUCAGUUUUGACGUGACAAUACAGUAAUGGAGCAUCCACUGGGGCGAUACGCUCACCACCACGUUCGAAUAACCCGACGUUUUUUUAAGCAACAGUCCACGAAAAAAAUUAUUUUGAAGGAAACGAGGCGAUUGAUGCGGGAGGGUGAGCGCACUGGCGGUGACCGGACUCGAAAAGCCCAGCCCAUAUGUCAAUUGACUAGCGAAUCAAUAGCGAUCCAAUAUCCCCGCGAUACGCUCACCGCCACCUAGCAUAACCGCAGCGUUUUGUGCGCAGCAAUCCACCAAAAAAAUUAUUUUGAAGCAAACGCGACGGUUUGUGCGGAAGGGUGAUCUCACUGGAGGUGACCGGACUCAGAAAGUGGUGUGAAAAUAUAGGCCGGCCCAAUAAGUCAAUUGCCCGGUGAAUUAAUGCGGCCCAGCCCAACAUCGACCAACUAUUGAUGCCAUAUAGGCCGAAUUAAUUGACGGGGCGAACUAAUCGAAUGGGCCUUAUUGCGAAACCACAGCCUAAAGAGUUGAGGUGCAAUUAGAUGGGCCUUCUUAAGACCCCAAGCUAGCUCAUUUUGAUAACACGUUUGAACUUAACUAAUACAUAGUCAUUGAGGCCCUAAACAUAUUUUUGUAUUAUUGUUAUUUUUUAAUUGGAGUUGCAUACGAAGAUAACCUGUUCUAAGUGCUAAAAUUCAAUGGCCCUUCUCUCUCAAUCUCUCUGCUCUGCUCUGCUCUGCUCUGCAAAUAAGUAGACAUGGGUUUUUCUCACAGGGAUCCGCUGCUCACCAGCAAGCUUAGCAAGAACAGAUAAACAGUUUGAUUCAUACACAGUAAAUAUUCAAUGGCGUAUUGAAUAUUUACGCCAGUGAAUAUUCACAGAGCAAAAAUAACCAAAAGAAAAAAAGAAGCAAUGUCUUUUGUUGUAUUAAUUGGUAUUGUGGUAACUUAUGGUUAGUCAUAAUUCAGCUGAUCUGUUUUCCAAUUAUUUGAGGUUUAUUUCAACUAUCAUUCCUCCCCCAUUCUUUUCAUCAGGUCGUUGGUUAACCUCUAUGCUGCUGGAGAAUAAAGCAAGCGAAUUGAUGGUCCGGAGAGCUUGCUUUCCCGCUUCAGUAUUAAACAUGCCCUGGUCGCUGGUCGAAGCGGCACGCUAACAGCAACGUGCCAUUAUAUCGCCUUUGGGUCCCAGCGAUACGCUCACCGCCGCACACGAAUAACCCCGACGUGUAGUAAGCAACAACCCACGGAAAUUUUUUUUUUGUAGGAAACGAGACGAUUACUGCAGGAGGGUGAGCACACGGACGGUAACCGGACUCAGAUAGCCCGGCCCAAUAAGUCACUAGCGAAUCAAUAACCGGAGCAAAUGGAGGCCCAACAUCCCAGCGAUUCGCUCAUCGGGCUUGGAUAGCCUGGCCCAAUACGUCAAUUGGCUGGUGAAUUAAUGCGGCCCAAAAUUGGAUCAACUUUCCAUGAUUCAUGGGCUGACUUAAUCGAAUGGGCUCAUCGCUAAAGCACAGCUUAAAUAGGUGAGGUGCAACGACAUGGCCAUCCUUAAGAGCCCAAACUUUGUACACUGAACCACGCACCUAAUGGUUUUUGUUUUUUUUGCGUCCAGUGCGAUAAAAUUUGUCCAGAAAAUAGAAAACCACUAGUAGCUCUCGAGUUAUAACUUUAGCAAAGCACUCAACGCACCCAGAAAAGUAAAAUGGAAUAAGGUGUGGCUUGAUAAAUAUGAAGAGGCCUGCUUUAAAAAUGAAUACAUUUUCAACUUUCUCAUGAUAAAUAUGAAGAGGAGAAAAGUAGAAUAUCUUUCGUUUUUUACCUCUUAUUAUUUUGGCACAUAUCUUUUUUACCUCUUCUUAUUUUGGAACAUAUCUCCUGGACAAAAAUCAUCAACAAACUAGUGUGUGUAUGGCAUGAAGGUUAAGCGGUCCCACGAGGAGUAGAAACAAUACUAUCCUCACAUUCCCCACCCGCUGAGACACCCAAUCCAAACUUCCAAACUACAAUAUCCUCACAUUCCCCACCCGCUGAGGCACCCAAUCCAAACUUCAAACUACAACCCCCCAAGAAGAACACAUGGAUCAGAAACGCGGGAAACUAAAGCAACAAUGGCUGCCUCAGCUGCGAUCUCUGCUCCCUCUCAGCUCCUCUGCAGCAGAGCUUCGACCCGUAUCUCACCCUUUCCGCAUUUGGUCCUCUCGCUUUUGCCCGGGAGGGCCUGCUCACACCAUGUGCGCUCUUCUCCAGCUUCAAAUAUACGAUGCGCUGCAGUGGACGCCACAGCGUCGCAAGUGGAGACGGUGGCAACCAAGAAGAAGAGCAGCUUUGCAGUGCAGACGCUGACAACAUGGCUGCUGAAGCAGGAACAAGCAGGCAACAUCGACACAGAGCUGACCAUCGUCCUUUCGAGCAUCUCCGUGGCGUGCAAGCAGAUUGCCUCCCUAGUCCAACGGGCCAGCAUCGCCAAUCUCACAGGCGUCCAGGGCGCCGUCAACGUCCAAGGCGAAGACCAGAAGAAACUUGAUGUCAUCUCUAACGAAGUAAUCGAUUAAUCAACACUCAAUCUGCCCUUUCUGUUCUGCAAGUAACUACAAAGUUUGGCAAUUCUCGUAAACUACAGGUGUUCUCAAAUUGUCUGACAUCAAGCGGGCGUACAGGAAUCAUAGCCUCAGAAGAGGAGGACGUGCCGGUGGCCGUAGAAGAGAGCUACUCCGGCAAUUACAUCGUGGUGUUCGACCCCCUCGACGGCUCCUCCAACAUCGACGCGGCCGUCUCCACUGGCUCCAUCUUUGGCAUCUACAGUCCCAAUGAUGAGUGCCUUGCUGACACCGGUGACGAUGCCACAGUAUACAUGCUCCCUUUCCUAAUCUUUUUCCCCCGGUCCGAACACACGUAGUAGAUUGAAUCUUAUGGUUCUGACCUUUGUAAUAUGGCAAUGACAGCUCGAUCAGACGGAGCAGAGGUGCGUGGUCACCGUGUGCCAGCCUGGAAGCAACCUACUUGCCGCAGGAUACUGCAUGUACUCCAGCUCAGUGAUCUUCGUGCUUACAGUGGGGGAGGGCGUGUUCGUGUUCACGCUGGACCCCAUGUAUGGCGAGUUUGUGCUGACCCAGGAAGAGGUGAAGAUACCGCGAGCAGGCAAGAUAUACGCGUUCAACGAAGGAAACUACCAGCUGUGGGAAGACAAGUUGAAGCAGUACAUGGACAUCCUCAAGGACCCUGGGCCAUCAGGGAAGCCCUACUCGGCCCGGUACAUCGGCAGCCUCGUCGGGGACUUCCACCGGACUUUGCUGUACGGUGGCAUAUAUGGAUAUCCCCGCGAUAAGAAGAACAAGAAUGGGAAGCUCAGGCUGCUUUACGAGUGCGCUCCGAUGAGUUUCAUUGUGGAGCAGGCUGGCGGGAAGGGAUCGGACGGCCACCAAAGGAUUCUCGACAUCAAGCCUGAAGAGGUAAGCUACCGUUACUUUUGUUGUAGUUCAUCUCGUUCUGUCUGAAACCAGAGAAUAAAUAUAGCUUAGAACAGUUAGUAUGCACACCGGGCUAAUACGGCGAAAUACAAAUCUUUGAUUUUACUAGAUCCAUCAAAGAGUUCCACUAUUCAUCGGAAGCGUUGAAGAAGUCGAGAAGUUGGAGAAGUUCUUGGCAUGAUCCUUUUGUACGGAAGGCCGGUUAGCCUCACAUAGGACUAUAUUUUGGAAGCCUUCCGCACACUCCAAAAUUUUAAGAAACUCCUAUGCCCAUCUUUAUUUAUUGUUUCACAUGCAGCAGAUGUAUUUUUUAUACGUAGUUUCCAUCGUAUCUAUUGUUACAGAUAGAAUUUGAUGAGGAUACCACUGCCAGUAUUCUGGGCAUUCAUUCAUCUGGCAUCAAAUUUUAAACCUAUGAAAAUGAAUGGAAAAAUAAAAUGCUUCAUGAUUGGCCCUAUUAACAACUUUUAGCAACAUUAAAUUUCAGCAAAUUUUUGCGGUACUUAGAGCGUAGUACAUACCAAAUAAACCUUACGCUGCAGGCAAAUUAAUCUAUCAAUCAUGCUCAAAGAAUCAAGCGGAAAGACAAAAAAAAAAAAAAAAAUCACAAAUUCGAAGAAGUAGAAGGAAUAGUCACACAUCAUAGGAUAAGAUUCACACGAUUUAUUUACACGCAAAGUGGCCCGGCAUACAGCACGACCAAGACACGCAUCAGUAAUUCACCAGCAAUUCAAAAUACAAAAAUGCACGAGAAUCGCUCGACGAAAUGCGAUGGACAGAGAAAGAAGGCACCGAACCGACCCUAACGAGUAAGUAGCAGCACACUACACAUUACACUACGAUUAAAGAGAGACUCAGAUCAGACGCACAGAGAGAGAGACGAUGACGAAGUAGAUGAGACCUAGAAGAUUUAUUCGUUCUGGGAAGGAAGGAAGGAAGGAAGGAAGGAAGGAAGCAAAGCUGCUGCUGGUGCUGUGCUGAUCAGCAUCAUCGUGAUCAGCCGGAGAUCUGGACGGACUUGACCUGGGGCUUCUUGACGUCCUCCUUGGGGACGGUGACGGUGAGCACGCCGUUCUCCAUGGCGGCCUUGACCUGAUCGACCUUGGCGUUGUCGGGGAGGCGGAACCUGCGUAGGAACUUGCCGCUGCUGCGCUCCACGCGGUGCCAGGUGUCGUUCUUCUCCUCCUUCUCCCUGGUGCGCUCGCCGCUGAUCUGCAGGACGUUGCCCUCCUCCACCUCCACCUUCACCUCCUCCUUCUUCACCCCCGGCAGAUCCGCCUUGAACACGUGCGCCUCCGGCGUCUCCUUCCAAUCUAUGCGGGCGCCCGCGAACGACGCUGUCUCCGCGGGGAAGGACGCCGAGGGGCGCGGGAACGAGAGGGCGCCGCCGAAGGGGAAGCCCUCGAAGGGCUCCCACAGGUCGAGGGAGAAGGGAUCGAAGAUGUUGCUUCGCCGAACCAGAGACAUGAUGAUCGCUUCCGAAGACGACGCUUCUUCAGAGGGUUUAGGAUGGAUGGAUUGUUCCGAUGAGACUGCCUGCUUGCUUGCACUUGAUGGAUGAUGAUGGGUCGAUGAGGCUAGAGCGGAGUGGGGAGACCUAUAUAUAGAUAGAGAGAGAGAGAGUUUCUCGAACGUUCCCCAGGCUUCUUCCGAUUACUCUCGACGGUUCCGGAACCGCCAGCCGAUCAGACAAACCGGUUCAAGCGAACCGCGAGAACCAUCGCGUCCGUUCUAGCACUUUCUCGACAAAGGCGUGCGUUACCGUACUUACGGCGCUAUGAGAUGCUUCGCCACCGACUUCACCUUUCGCGCAAGGUUAUAUUGAAUACUGCAAAUCGAUAUGUCUCGUCGCCGACUUUGUUGUUUAUGUUUCGCUGCAGAGUAUGCUUAUAAUUUAUACCCCACUAGCUCCAUGAUUCCAAAUCCUCUAAGUCCAAGACAAAGACAGAAACUUGUGGGUCGUUUUAGCGCGAGCAUUACAGCAGUUGAUUAACUGAAUACAUACACCACGGUCCCACCCAACAACGAACACACAUACACACACACAUACACAAAAAAAGGAAGAGUAUAGACAUGUUAGUUUGCAAACUAAUAUCACAAACAAAGGCAACAAGAAAACCAAAUGACCUCUUAAUGACAUUAGCUCUGAUGCCUACACUUUCGCUUUGAGAGAGAGAGAGAGAGAGAGAAAAGCAAAAAGGACUGUUGUAUCUGAUUUCAAAAUGAAUAACACACAAAUAUAUAUACUCUAAAAUUAUUGCAUAUUACAAACCGCCUCGCAAAUAUUUUUUUUGAGAGAUAGGUAGCCAAAUAUUUUUUUUGAGAGAUAGGUAGUACGCUAUCCGUUUCGUUUAUUUCAUUUAGAAAUAAACUUAGCUAGAAAUGUGAAUCAACUAGGAUUCGAACUUGGGUCUCGGAUACCAACCACCAAGCCCUUUGCCACUUGCUCUAGGGACGGUCGGUCACCUCGCAAAUAUUUAAGAAUGGUUACCCAUCAACUUUGUCAAAAACGGAAUUACACUGUUUCAGAUAGAUCCCUGAACCUCUUUACAUUGCUACAGCAUGCAAUCAUCAGAAAAGGAUUAGAGGCGGAAGCUCACAUCAUCCAAAUUCAGCUAUACCAGUCAAUGAACAGGAUGGAGAAAGUAAGGACGACAAAGAAAAGCAAAAGAAAAGUUCUGCUGCUGCUAUUGCGCUUGAUUGCCUGCAACAUCUCCUUUUUGCCUAGAACUACAUUGUUCUUAGCUUCAACAACCCGAUAAAAUGUGUCAAAAGGAUCAGAAAUGUAAACAAACAAGGAGUGCACAUACAGGACCUACUAUUUUAGUUACAAGAAUAAACAAA
rnacentral:lncRNA from 1 species